rnacentral:rRNA from 1 species
GGAGGGCGCAAGCGUUGUUCGGAAUCACUGGGCGUAAAGCGCGUGUAGGCGGUUUGGCAAGUCGGGUGUGAAAUCCCCGGGCUCAACCCGGGAAUGGCAUCCGAAACUUCUAAGCUAGAGUCCCGGAGAGGAGGGCGGAAUUCCCGGUGUAGGGGUGAAAUCCGUAGAUAUCGGGAGGAACACCUGAGGCGAAGGCGGCUCUCUGGACGGUGACUGACGCUGAGACGCGAAAGCGUGGGGAGCAAACAGGAUUAGAUACCCUGGGUAGUCCACGCCGUAAACGUUGCGCACUAGGUGUCGGGGGAUUCACCCCCUCCCGGUGCCCGACGCUAACGCAUUAAGUGCGCCGCCUGGGGAGUACGGCCGCAAGGCUA